ensembl:lincRNA
AUUUUACAUUUGGUGAGUUUCCAGAUCAGUAUUUUAAAACAGUAAUUUUAUUUAUUAUAUUUUUAUACAUAGAAUUUGCAAAUUACUUUCUGACUACAAAGAAAAACAGAUGCCAAAAUACUCUUCUGAAAACAGCAACCCAGAACAAGACUUAAAGCUGACAUCAGAGGAAGAGUCUCAAAGGCUUAAAGGAAGUGAAAAUAGCCAGCCAGAGAAAAUGUCUCAAGAACCAGAAAUAAAUAAAGGUGGUGAUAGAAAGGUUGAAGAAGAAAUGAAGAAGCACGGAAGUACUCAUAUGGGAUUCCCAGAAAACCUGACUAACGGUGCCACUGCUGGCAAUGGUGAUGAUGGAGUAAUUCCACCAAGGAAAAGCAGAACACCUGAAAGCCAGCAAUUUCCUGACACUGAGAAUGAACAGUAUCACAGGUAAGUCUGUGGCAACAUUGAACAGGAGAUAACUAUAUGCUGUCAAUCUAAUUCAUGAUGAACAAAUUUUAUACUUUUGCUAGGAUAUUCAGCCUUGCCUGUUAAUCAGAAAAAUGAAAAUCAGUAAACAAUGAGUUACCAUUUUUUCCAGUCAUUAAUUUAUUUGAAAAAUAGCCAGCAUUGGCAAAUGUGAGGGAAAAGACAUUUUCUUUUCUUUUCAGUGAACUUUUAUUUUAGCUUCAGGGUACAUGUGCAGGUUUAUUAUAUAGGUAAACUGUAUCAUGGAGGUUUGGGGUACAGAUUAUUUCAUCAGCCACAUAAUAAGCAAAAUACUCGAAAGGUAGUUUUUUGGUCGUCUCCCUCCUGCCAUGCUCCACCCUCAAGUAGGCCCCAGUGUCUGUUAUUCUCCUCUUUGUGUCCAUGAGUUCUCAUGUUUAGUUCCCACUAAUGAGUAAGUAUAUGUGGCAUUUGAUUUUCUGUUGCUGCAUUAGUUUGCUUAGGAUAAUGGCCUCCAGCUCCAUCUGUGUUGCUGCAAGGGAAAUGGUUUCACUGAAAAAGACAUUUCAUACACUGUUGGCAAAUACAUUUUGAACAUUAAUUUAGUAGCAUAUUCACACACACACAGAUAUAUAACAGAGUAAGGAUGUAUAAUACAUGUAAAGGAUAUUUGUGUAGAUAUGUUACAUACAUACUUACAUAUAAGGACAUAUAUUAUAGCAUUAUUAUAUUAAAAAUUUGGAGCUAGUCUACUUCCUUAUCAAUAGGAAAUAGCUCAAUUUCCAUACCCCCAAAAUAAUGUAUUAUGCAACCAUUUUUGAAAAAUGAGGUUAGAUCUAGGGUAUACUGAUUAUUUCACAGAUAAAAUGUAUUUAAAGCAUUUAGUUUGAUGACACAUCUUAAGAGUUCUUGUUAAAAUUCUUGUAAUAUCUGCUGUGUUGGAAAUGGAAGCUACAUGCUACAUUGACACUGUAACUUGUUAGCAACAAGAUUGCUGAUUAUUAAAUUUUUGUUGUCAGUGCCUGAGUGCUGAAAUAUUGGACCCUCAGUCUGAAUAUUGCCAAGGGAUUGUACAUGGGGAUCUAUAUUUAAUAUAAACAUUUCAGUGUAUUGGGUAAAACUUUUAUUAAAAUACAUGAAAGAUCUUUGAUCUACUAAACCAAGAGUUGGCCAGCUUUUUCUGCAAAGAACCAAUUAGUAAAUAUUUUAGGCUUUGUGGACUACGUAUAUUUAUUUUCUUGAGACAGGGUCUGGCUCUGUUUCCCAGGCUGGAGUGCAGUUGUGUGAUCAUGGUUGUGUGAUCACUGCAGCCUCGACUUUCUGGGCUCUAGUGAUCCUCCCACCUCAGCCUCUCUACUAGCUGGGACCACAGGUGUGCAACAUCACACCCAGCUAAUUGACACUAUGGACUGUAAAGUGAAUAAGCAUGGCUGUGUUCCAGGAUACUUGACUUACAAAAACAGUCAGUGGGCCGGAUUUGGCCCACAGAUGCUUAUUUGCUGACCCUUGUGCUAAAAGGAAGGUGCUGCUAAUGCAUUGACUCUUAUAUGUAAAAGUGUCCUGCAUGGGUGACAUUAACUUUCCUUUGAGAAAAGGAUAUAUUUGAGUAUUCACCUCACUAUAUUUUUCCACAGUGACUUCAUGUAAUUUUAAAAACUUCAUUUAUAAAAUAAGAUUAUUUUCUGCAUUUCUCUCACUUUAUUCCUGUUAAUAGAACUCAGUAUUUUACUGUGAUCAAUUACUUUCUGUAUUUGAUGAGUGUCAACUGUCCUAGAAUUGGCUGAUUUUUAUCAAGCAAGAAAUAUUCUUGUUGAGACCUUUAGUAUUUCUUGGUCUUUAUGUAUAAGCAUGAACAAAAUGAUAAUCAGCUUAUGUAAUCUAGAAAUGUUCAAGGGGCCUUUAAAACCUUGGUCUGGCAUUUAAUGCCACAUGUGUAUAAUUUUUAUAACCUUUGAAAUAUAUAAUUGUUACAUAGCAUUUGAAACCUCCACCUGUUAUGUAAAAUUUGGAAACUAUUUCUUGUCUAUCACUUUUCCAUGACUGUGGACGAAAAUUACAUCAUUCUCAGUCAUGAGUGUUAAGUAUGUUGUCCUUUAAGUAACUGUCUACACUCACGAACUCAAAUUUUCUUUCCAUUCACUCUUGAUCUCAAUGCCAGUAAGUCUUCAAUUUCAGUACUCCUCCAGAGUUGUUUUUCUCGAGGUUAUCACUACUUUUUUCUGUAAAUAAAUCUAUGCAUUUUUUCUUACACCUCAUUUUAUUUAAUGGGUCAGCAAUAUUUGAGCCAAUGGAGGGCAUCUUCUCCCUAACGGCGUCUUCAUUUGUCUUUCAGGACCUCACUCCCUCAGGCUUUUACUCCUGCCUUUCUAGUCCAUUCAUCAUGGUCUGUUUUGCUUGCUCCUCCUCAUCUUUCUCCUUUUGGACAUUGUUGUUUCUCAUGGCUCCGUCCUCAAUCUUCUUUCUCAUGACUUUUUUUUUUUUUUUAAGAUGAAGUCUGGCUUUGUCCCCUAGGCUCGUGUUCAUUGGCACGAUCUUGGCUCAUUGCAACCUCUGCCUCCUGGCUUCCAGCGCUUCUCCUGCCUCAGCCUCCUGAGUAGCUGGGAUUACAGGUGUGUGACACCAUACCUGGCUAAUUUUUGUAUUUUUAGUAGUGACAGGGUUUCCCCAUGUUGGCCAGGCUGACCUCAAACUCCUGAUGUCAGGUGAUCUGCCCGCCUUGGCCUCACGAAGCGUUGCGAUUACAGGCCUGAGCCACACUGCCUGGCCCUUCAUGACUUUUUCUACUGUAUAUAUGCUAGUGAUUUCCAAAUGCAUGUCUCCAACUCAGAUCUCACUCCUUAAUCCAGAUCUCUGUAUCAGCCUGGCUACUUGACAGGCCUAGCGUAUCAGACGUAGCUGCCUAAUAAAUAGUUAUUUGAUUAGCUGUUGGGUAUCACACACUUGUCAGAUCCAAAAUUGGGCUACUGAUGGCCUUCCUGAAAUCUACACCUCAUGUAGUCUUUCCUACUUUGGUUAAUGGCAACUCUUCCAGUUGCUCUGCCAAAAACCUCGGUGUCAUUCUAGACUCAUCUUUGUCUCUGUCUUGACACUUCACAUCUAAUCUCUCAGUAAAUCUCAUCAGGUCUACCUGAAGAAUAUGUCCAGAAGCCAGUCAUAUCUUGUACAUCUGAGCCACCAUCAUCUGCCGUCUAGAUGAGUGUCAUAGACUGGGAAUUGAUAGUCCUGGUUUUUAAAAACUUCCCCUUUCAUCAAUUCUUAACUCAGUGGAUGUAUUUAAAACAUAAGUCAAAUUGUGUCAUUCCCCUGCCCCAGCCCUUCUGAUUGCCUCCCAUUUCACGCUGA